CUCGUCCUCUCCUCUCUCACUCUCUUUCUCCUGAAGAACUGCUGAAGAAAAAUACUCUCCCGCCAUUGAAUCUUUCCCGCCGUUAAAAUCAGAGGAAGCUAGGUGAACAGGCAACUGUGGAGGACGGGGUCGAGAAAGGUGAAUGCUAUCUUUGGAUUGAGCAGUGGUGGAGCCAGAGAUUAAGAUUAAGGGGGGCUAAAAAAAAGUUUUAUAAUUAUGUUGGACUGAGUGGGCUAAAUACCAAACACAAGGUGGGCUAAAUGCAGAAAAUAACAUGAAUUUUAGAGGGUUUCUAUGCAAUUAUUAGAAUUUAGGGGGGGGGGGCUAGAACCAGGGUUAGUCAACCCUUGGCUCCACCCCUGACUGCAGGUUAUUAUGGCAGCGGUGGAGGUAGAUGAAAAUGGACUUCCGAUGUCGAGGAAUUCAACUAAACUUGGCCACCUGAAGGGCGCGUUGGUUCGCACUCAUGUCCCUAUCUUCUACAACACCUGGAAGGAGGUACCAGAAACUUACAAAGAAGAUGUCUGGAAUGAACUACAGAUAUCGUUUCUGUUUCCUGAUACUUGUAAAGCAACUGUGGUAAAGGGGAUGCUGAUCCAUGGAGGAGAAGUAAGUGGGAGUUACGAAGAGUAUAUUAUGAUCCAUAUCCCACUUAUGAAGCAAGGACCUCAGUACUACUCUAAAUGUAAGUGAUGAAGACCGGAAAACAUGCUGUCGUAACGAGGAAGGUCGAAUUGUUUUUUUGGAGAUGUAACCUCAGUACUCAGCCAUCAUCUUUUGCGUAUAUCAACGAUAAACAUAUAUGCCUUUUACUUUUUAUGCUAAUGUUCGGACGGCUUUUUACUUUUUUAUUUUUUUGCUAAUUUUCACACUUGUGCAUCUGUGCAUAAGAAGACUAUGAUGUAGUAUGCGGCAGAUUCUUAUGCAACUAUGCACAAGGAAGUACUUUACUUUUAACUGAAAGAAACUUGGUACGUAAUAUAUAUAUAUAUGUGUGUGUGUGUGUGUGAAUGACUUUUACUUCUUGCAUUUGUGUGGUUCCGGUAUAUGUAUGUGAAUGACUUUUACUUCUUGCAUUUGUGUGGUUCCGGUAUAUGUAUAUGUUUGUAGUUGUGCAGGAGUAUAAGGUCAACUGAAGCCAGUAGCCACCCCGGGGAAUACCAAUCCCUGGUAAGUUCAUUUGAUUAUGCUCGGAGCCCAUUUUUGCUGAAAUUUGUUGAUAUUAACCUUUGGAUUUCACUUUCUUGCGAGGUAUUACACUCACUGAUAUUUUUGCUGCCGGAUUAUGACGUUGACGACCUUUCUCUGUCUAAAGGUCCAAUCAAUCAAAGUGGUUAUGAAGCUGCAGUUAGGAAUGGUGAAAUGAAGUUGUGUGUGCUUGUUGUUGGUUGGUAUUGCAGGUGCAGUUGGAUACAAAGAAGCUAGUGGUGCUGGUCAAGAUGAAGUUGCAGCUGCAGGUGGACUGGUUGGCCUGAGAUGCAGUAGCAAGUUGUAGGGACUGAGCUGUUGAGUGGAAUUGGGGUUGUGUUUGAAAUGCAGUUAGGAGAUUAAGAUUGAAAGUCAUGAGCACAUGGUGUCUGAGGCUGUGGUGCUGAGAAGAUGAUUACAGGUGGUCAACAAAAUGAAUGGAAACUUAGUCCAGUGGAGCUAGUUAAGGUAUGCGAGAACCAUCCUUAGGGAGUAAGAUUUAAAGAUACUAAGGAUACUCACAAGUGUAUAGAGCUAAUGAAUGGAAGAUGGUAAUUACUGCAACACUUUUGUGUCCAAAAUUCUUUUUAUCAUCAUAGUUGUUAAAGUUCGAGACUAAACUAAGUUAGUCUUAUUGAAAUCAAGAGUAACUCAUAUGUAUACCAUGUGCAGAUGAACAUAUAGUUGUUUCCUUCUCUUCUUUUGUAAUUUUCUUAAAUGUUGUACGUAUGUAUGAUUGGACAUAUCAAUGUCAAUAUAAGCAAUAGUGCA